rnacentral:rRNA from 1 species
AGUGAACGCUGGCAGUAGGCCUAACACAUGCAAGUCGAACGGCAGCACAGUAAGAGCUUGCUCUUACGGGUGGCGAGUGGCGGACGGGUGAGGAAUACAUCGGAAUCUACUUUUUCGUGGGGGAUAACGUAGGGAAACUUACGCUAAUACCGCAUACGACCUACGGGUGAAAGCAGGGGAUCUUCGGACCUUGCGCGAUUGAAUGAGCCGAUGUCGGAUUAGCUAGUUGGCGGGGUAAGGGCCCACCAAGGCGACGAUCCGUAGCUGGUCUGAGAGGAUGAUCAGCCACACUGGAACUGAGACACGGUCCAGACUCCUACGGGAGGCAGCAGUGGGGAAUAUUGGACAAUGGGCGCAAGCCUGAUCCAGCCAUACCGCGUGGGUGAAGAAGGCCUUCGGGUUGUAAAGCCCUUUUGUUGGGAAAGAAAAGCAGCAGGUUAAUACCCCGCUGUUCUGACGGUACCCAAAGAAUAAGCACCGGCUAACUUCGUG